rnacentral:rRNA from 1 species
CCCUUAGAUGUCCGGGGCUGCACGCGCGCUACACUGAAGGAAUCAGCGUGCUAAAUCCAUUGUCGAAAGGCAUUGGUAAACCCAUUAAAAUCCUACGUGAUUGGGAUCGGGAAUUGCAAUUAUUUCCCUUGAACGAGGAAUUCCCAGUAAGUGUGGGUCAUAAGCUCGCGUUGAUUACGUCCCUGCCCUUUGUACACACCGCCCGUCGCUGCCCGGGACUGAGCCGUUUCGAGAAAAGCGGGGACUGCUGCUGUCGGGGCUUUCGGGCCUUGGCUUCGGUGGAAACCGCUUUAAUCGCAGUGGCUUGAACCGGGCAAAAGUCGUAACA